GGGAAAAAGAAAAUCUCAGCGCAUUCCUGUAGUUCAAUAAAGACGAGUCGAAUGUCGAUGACGGUAGCCACAUUAUUCGUCGUCUGAACCUAUGAAAUUGAAAGAUGAGCAAUUCCAAGAGUAACACAAAAAAUGAGAUGUGCUGCUACAUCUUUUGAAACAGAAAUCAAUGCAUACAUAUUUCUAUGCAACUUCACUUCAGUAAACUUCAACAUGCCACUGUUUGUUCUUUUUAAGCUGCGAAAGUUUCUCUUCCCAUUUCUCACCUCUUUGCUCUGCAACCCUUUUCAGUGUGUCCUGAAUUCCAGGCAUCAUCCCUUUCAGUCCACAGAAGUAUAUGUGAGCCCCGCCAUCCAAGAGUUUAAAGAUUUCGUCGCUGUACUCCUCAAUCUUGUCCUGGACGUACAUCUUCCCACCUUUCUUGUUCUGAUGUUCCCUGCUAAGGGCCGUAUCAUACCUGAAGUUAUCAGGGUAGUCGCGAAGGUAGCUGGUGAACUCGUCAUCAUACAGGAGGCUGUCUUUGUUUGCAACACCGAGGAAAAGCCAUGCGAGGCCUCCAAAUUGGUAUUUGGGUACGGAUUCCAUGAACAUUCGGCGGAGGUAGCCACGGUAGGGAGCGAUACCAGUACCGGUGGCGAUCAUGAUAUGAGUAGCGUUGGGAUCAUCUUCAGGUAACAACAUUAUUUUACCCGAAGGGCCUGUGAGCAGAAUUUUGUCUCCAGGCUUUGAGUUGCAAAGAAAAUUACUGCAAACCCCAUUUUUUGAAGGAUCCUCCUUUCCAGUCUCUGGAUCAUAAUAUACAGCUCGACGGACACACAAACUGCCUGUCUUGCCAUCAAAAGAAUCGCCAUACCUGGUUGAUGCAAUUGAGUAAAGACGCACAUUCUGGGGAGCCCCUGGCUUUUUGGGAUUCUCUCCAGGAGGAAUUAUGCCAUAACUUUGCCCUUCCCAAUAAGGGACAUUGCCACCAUGAUCAAUGACUAUAUGGCAUGUCUCACCAGGGGCUGCCGGACCAACAAUCCUCUCAACUGAGACAAUUGUUGCUGUGUAUGGUUGCUUGGGCUUGUACAGGUUGAGAGGAGGUUCUUUGGCAUCCUCAAGUUCUAAAGGUUUAACUGCCACUUUACUCCUUCUGGCUUGUUGAACAGACAUGCAUGCCACCUUGAAUUGAGAUUUUGCUUGUGAAUUCUUGUUUCUCAACUCGAAAGAUAUGAAGGGUGCCCAUGACUUGUGGUGGAAGCUUAGGUUAUUGUUGACCUUGAAUCCGGACCUUGCGGGAGCUGAAUCAGCUGAUAGCUGCAGCGAUAGUGAUGCCUGAGCUCCGAGCGCGUGCGCCAUGAUCAGCAGAGAUCUAGGGCUUCUUCAGCUCCGCGAUCGAGAUUGAAUCAGCGGCGGGUGGGGGUUUUAUGGAGGUUGGGAGAGCUCCCUUCGAGAUGAGAGAGGGCACAG
rnacentral:misc_RNA from 1 species